GGUUAAUCCCUGCACCCCCAAUAAUAUAAUACCGGCAUGUAAAGGGUUAAUCCCUGCACCCCAAUAAUAUAAUACCGGCAUAUAAAGGGUUAAUCCCUGCACCCCAAUAAUAUAAUACCGGCAUAUAAAGGGUUAAUCCCUGCACCCCCAAUAAUAUAAUACCGGCAUAUAAAGGGUUAAUCCCCGCACCCCAAUAAUAUAAUACCGGCAUAUAAAGGGUUAAUCCCUGCA